GGCUGGUAGCCAACUGUCGCGCUUUGCGUGAGGAAAGUCCGCCCACCAUAAAAGGCUGCUUCGUUUUGAAGUUCCAGAAAUGGAAGGCAACCGUCCAGAAACGACACGGCCUCUCUGGAGCUAUGAUGCUGCGAAGCUUCCGGCAACGGAAGUGAGAUAACCAGCUGAGUAUUCCUUAGAGGAUGCGUUGAAACGCGUGAGCCCCAGCCGGUGCAAGCCAUUAAGGCGCUUAGUUGAAUGUUGGCAUGACCUGUUCGCUUAUGGCGAGGUCUUACAGAAGGCGGCUUAUUCCAGUC
rnacentral:RNase_P_RNA from 1 species